AUCUUGCCCGUGCGUCCGUGGCACGGAACGGCCGUUAGUCCCGGCAGAGGGCUCCGCGAAGACAGUGCCGUCGUUGGGCGCGCGCGCGGGCGGGAGCUGUCGGGGCGGGGCGGCACCGCCGAGCUCCGAGCUGUGAGGACCGCCCCGGGCCUUGGGCGGGGCGGGGGCCAGGGAAGGGCGUGCGCAGGAUUGGGGAGCACGUUUUGCGUCUUGCUGUGCGUGAGGAAGCGGGGAUCCAGGUCAAGGCUAUGGAAAGGUCAGGGAAGGGUGUCAGUGCGCCCGUCCUGCAGGGAGUCCAGAUCCGAGAGGCAGGACUUUGAAAUGACCCUGUCCUCAGCCUGGAGGAUGCGGUAUUCUGAUUGUCUGGUGCUGUGUCAACUGGGCCUGCCUCUGGGAUAGUGUUGUGGCUGCCCCACGAGAACCCUAUAUGCCAGGUGAGCUUGAAGCACCUCAGAGACAGAGCACUGAAGCUCCAUGACACAGGGCUAUUCAGCUAUCAUUGCCCCUGUUUGCCAGCACCUCUGUCUAAAUAACUUGUGUGGGACAGAAUUAGGUCCGAGUCUGGUAUUCUGUUCAUCUAGCCUGGUAGCCAGGUAGUGAGAGAAGAAACCUGUGGCCCUUGUCUAAAUAUGAGGUGGUCAGUAUUUAACAACAAAUCAACAAUAGGGUAUGACCAGACUGACUUGGGUCUGUUUGCAACACCUGAACCUUAUGCACAUGCUCAUAAAUGCCCUCUCCAAAAUACACACACACACCCCCAAGAAAGGUGAGAUACAAAUACACACUCCUCCCACACAGAAACAUGCAUGCUCAUUCACUCUGGCAGAAACCCUGAUCACACUUACGCUCCUGCACUCAGAUCUAGGGAGUAGAAAAUGGGCCAAGCCAACUCCAAAGACAGCUCAUAGUUUCAUUUUCAUCUCCUCAC
rnacentral:lncRNA from 1 species